rnacentral:rRNA from 1 species
UACGUAGGUGGCAAGCGUUGUUCGGAUUUACUGGGCGUAAAGAGUGCGCAGGCGGUCGGUCAAGUCGCGUGUGAAAGCCCCCGGCUCAACUGGGGAGGGUCACGCGAUACUGAUCGACUCGAAGGUAGGAGAGGGUAGUGGAAUUCCCGGUGUAGUGGUGAAAUGCGUAGAUAUCGGGAGGAACACCAGUGGCGAAGGCGACUACCUGGGCUGUUUCUUGACGCUGAGGCGCGAAAGCUAGGGGAGCAAACGGG